rnacentral:rRNA from 1 species
AAACAACGAAGAGUUUGAUCCUGGCUCAGGAUGAACGCUAGCGACAGGCCUAACACAUGCAAGUCGAGGGGCAUCGGGGCGAGGAGCAAUCCUUGCCGCCGGCGACCGGCGCACGGGU